rnacentral:rRNA from 1 species
CCUACGGGCGGCAGCAGUGGGGGAUAUUGCACAAUGGGGGAAACCCUGAUGCAGCGACGCCGCGUGGGCGAAGAAGUAUUUCGGUAUGUAAAGCCCUAUCAGCAGGGAAGAAGAAAUGACGGUACCGGAGUAAGAAGCACCGGCUAAAUACGUGCCAGCAGCCGCGGUAAUACGUAGGGUGCAAGCGUUAUCCGGAUUUACUGGGUGUAAAGGGAGCGCAGGCGGCACGGCAAGCCUGAUGUGAAAGCCCGCGGCCCAACCGCGGGACUGCAUUGGGAACUACCGGGCUGGAGUGCAGGAGAGGUAGGCGGAAUUCCUAGUGUAGCGGUGAAAUGCGUAGAUAUUAGGAGGAACACCAGUGGCGAAGGCGGCUUACUGGACGGUGACUGACGCUGAGGCUCGAAAGCGUGGGGAGCAAACAGGAUUAGAUACCCCUGUAGUC